CGGAUGUAGUCUGCAACCCGACUACAUGAAGCUGGAAUCGCUAGUAAUCGCGGAUCAGAAUGCCGCGGUGAAUACGUUCCCGGGUCUUGUACACACCGCCCGUCACACCAUGGGAGUCGGAAAUGCCCGAAGUCUGUGACCCAACCUACGGGAGGGAGCAGCCGAAGGCAGGUCGGAUGACUGGGGUGAAGUCGUAACAAGGUAAC
rnacentral:rRNA from 1 species